CCUACGGGGUGCAGCAGUGGGGAAUAUUGCACAAUGGGCGAAAGCCUGAUGCAGCAACGCCGCGUGAAGGAAGACGGUUUUCGGAUUGUAAACUUCUAUCAAUAGGGAAGAAAGAAAUGACGGUACCUAAAUAAGAAGCCCCGGCUAACUACGUGCCAGCAGCCGCGGUCAUACGUAGGGGGCAAGCGUUAUCCGGAAUUACUGGGGGUAAAGGGGGAGUAGGCGGCAAGGUAAGCGAUAUGUGAAAGCCUUAAGCUUAACUAAAGGAUUGGAUAACGAACUAUCUAGCUAGAGUACAGGAGAGGAAAGCGGAAUUCCUAGUGUAGCGGUGAAAUGCGUAGAUAUUAGGAAGAACACCAGUGGCGAAGGCGGCUUUCUGGACUGAAACUGACGCUGAGGCUCGAAAGCGUGGGGAGCGAACAGGAUUAGAUACCCGGGUAGUC
rnacentral:rRNA from 1 species